GGACGGGCGGGUGCUAUAAUGCAGUCGACGCGUUGGCCCAACUGAUUGAACGUGCUUGCACGGACUUGACGCUGGUUUACCAGCGAGUGGCGGACGGGUGAGUAACACGUAGGUAACCUGCCCCAAAGCGGGGGGUAACAUUUGGAAACAGAUGCUAAUACCGCAUAACAAUUUGAAUCGCAUGAUUCAAAUUUAAAAGAUGGCUUCGGCUAUCACUUUGGGAUGGACCUGCGGCGCAUUAGCUUGUUGGUAGGGUAACGGCCUACCAAGGCUGUGAUGCGUAGCCGAGUUGAGAGACUGAUCGGCCACGAUGGAACUGAGACACGGUCCAUACUCCUACGGGAGGCAGCAGUAGGGAAUCUUCCACAAUGGGCGCAAGCCUGAUGGAGCAACACCGCGUGAGUGAAGAAGGGUUUCGGCUCGUAAAGCUCUGUUGUUAGAGAAGAACGUGCGUGAGAGCAACUGUUCACGCAGUGACGGUAUCUAACCAGAAAGUCACGGCUAACUACGUGCCAGCAGCCGCGGUAAUACGUAGGUGGCAAGCGUUAUCCGGAUUUAUUGGGCGUAAAGCGAGCGCAGGCGGUUUGAUAAGUCUGAUGUGAAAGCCUUUGGCUUAACCAAAGAAGUGCAUCGGAAACUGUCAGACUUGAGUGCAGAAGAGGACAGUGGAACUCCAUGUGUAGCGGUGGAAUGCGUAGAUAUAUGGAAGAACACCAGUGGCGAAGGCGGCUGUCUGGUCUGCAACUGACGCUGAGGCUCGAAAGCAUGGGUAGCGAACAGGAUUAGAUACCCUGGUAGUCCAUGCCGUAAACGAUGAGUGCUAGGUGUUGGAGGGUUUCCGCCCUUCAGUGCCGCAGCUAACGCAUUAAGCACUCCGCCUGGGGAGUACGACCGCAAGGUUGAAACUCAAAGGAAUUGACGGGGGCCCGCACAAGUGGUGGAGCAUGUGGUUUAAUUCGAAGCUACGCGAAGAACCUUACCAGGUCUUGACAUCUUGCGCCAACCCUAGAGAUAGGGCGUUUCCUUCGGGAACGCAAUGACAGGUG
rnacentral:rRNA from 1 species